rnacentral:rRNA from 1 species
GACGAAGGUGGCGAGCGUUACUCGGAAUUACUAGGCGUAAAGCGUGGGUAGGUGGUUCGGUAAGUCUGUUGUGAAAGCUCCCGGCUUAACCGGGAGAGGUCAAUGGAUACUGCCGGACUUGAAUGUGGGAGAGGUCACUGGAAUUCCUGGUGUAGCGGUGAAAUGCGUAGAGAUCAGGAGGAACACCAAUGGCGAAGGCAGGUGACUGGACCACUAUUGACACUGAGCCACGAAAGCUGGGGGAUCAAACAGG